rnacentral:rRNA from 1 species
GACGAACGCUGGCGGCGUGCUUAACACAUGCAAGUCGAACGGUAAGGCCUUUCGGGGUACACGAGUGGCGAACGGGUGAGUAACACGUGGGUGAUCUGCCCUGCACUUCGGGAUAAGCCCGGGAAACUGGGUCUAAUACCGGAUAGGACUUCGCGGUGCAUGCCGUGUGGUGGAAAGAUUUAUCGGUGCAGGAUGGGCCCGCGGCCUAUCAGCUUGUUGGUGGGGUAAUGGCCUACCAAGGCGACGACGGGUAGCCGGCCUGAGAGGGCGACCGGCCACACUGGGACUGAGACACGGCCCAGACUCCUACGGGAGGCAGCAGUGGGGAAUAUUGCACAAUGGGCGCAAGCGUGAUGCAGCGACGCCGCGUGAGGGAUGACGGCCUUCGGGUUGUAAACCUCUUUCAGCAGGGACGAAGCGUGAGUGACGGUACCUGCAGAAGAAGCACCGGCUAACUACGUG